rnacentral:lncRNA from 1 species
CUCUGUGGAGUCAGUGGUGGAUGUAGUGGCCAGGAAAAGGCUAGACUGUGAGGCGGCCACAGAUCCCAGUACUGAGCACAGCUCCCCUGAGGGUCCCAGUCCAGAGCCAACUAGGGUAGAGCUUCAUACUGGGCAGAGGCAGUUUACAAACAAGGAGAAACUCUUCCUGAUUUCCAGGUCUCACACCCCAGGAGUAGAAGACCCUGAAUUGGAAAACUCUUCCAACUAGGGAGAGCGGGGCAGGGAAAGCAGACACGCGUGGGGGGUAGAGUACCACUGGAACCUCUGCAUUAAAAGUCCCCACCCUACCCCGACUCCCCUGUGGACAAGUCCGAGGAAACCAUUCAAUAUCCAAAGAGCUACAGAAUGUUAUCCUUGAAUUACGUUCACAAGAUUCCUGUAGAUAACUCAAGCAAUUUUUUUAAAAAAAAACAAACAAGCAAAGUCGUCUUUUUAUGUCCGAUGGUGAUUGUACGUUCGAUGAAAACCAAAUGUAUUAAAAGAUCACAACAUAGUUCAUUAGAGGAAACUCUCUUAAUUUUCUUAGGAUCAAAAUAAUAUAUUUUUGACAGUAACUCUGUACUUUAUUCCUAUUUUUCUUUGCCCCGCCCCCGCCCAACUUCCCGCUCCUGUACUCUGCUGCUGACUUCGUCCAUAGCUGCUUGUAAAUGGAUGACAAGCUGACUUCCGCCCUCUUGCAGAGCUUAGAAUUGAACUUUCUAGGUGGAGUCAAAGCCCAAAGCAUGAGUAUUCGGGGAAAGAGGGCUUCCUUGCCUCACCCCACUGUGCUCUACAGGUGUCCAGAGGAUUCUAUUUUUUAAAAGGAUAUUUGAAUUUUGCUACCAGGGUAUGUGAAAAGUGGAGGGCGCCAGCGACCACACUGGAUUGUUAUGUUCUUAAGCUCACAAUACCAAGUACACCAUGCGUUCCUGAGUAUUAUCACACUUGUAUGGAAAAAUAACAUUAAUAUUUAAAGUCCUUUUUUUAAUAAAAAGUUUCCAAACGGUUAAACAU